CCGGUCGACGCGUACACCCUCCCUCAUUAAAAAGAUGGGGUACCCGUUUAUCAGCCUGUCUCCGUCCGGAGAGGGUGGGGUAGAAUCAUCUUCGCACGAACCAGCCUCCAGAAAGGCCGAGGAAACCAUGCUUGGGGAUGCGACGUCUGUGCCCACCGUGGACAUGACUCGUCACCCGUCGACGGAGCACCUACACCUACACCACUAGUCGCCCCCGCCCCACCUCCGCCGCCUCGGCCAGACGACUCCUCCGAUGAAUAGACACUAACCACAACCAUUUAUUACCUUAGAAUGAAGAAUCUUGGGUUGAAGGAAGAAGAAGAAAUGGGAGAGAUGCUCACUGACGCCUCCCUCAACCCCUAUUUAUAGGAAAAUAUUUUUAAAACUGUCGCGCCUCAACCAC
rnacentral:lncRNA from 1 species